rnacentral:rRNA from 1 species
UACGUAGGGUGCGAGCGUUGUCCGGAAUUAUUGGGCGUAAAGGGCUCGUAGGCGGUUUGUCGCGUCGGGAGUGAAAAUCCAGGGCUUAACUCUGGACUGGCUUCCGAUACGGGCAGACUAGAGGUAUGCAGGGGAGAACGGAAUUCCUGGUGUAGCGGUGAAAUGCGCAGAUAUCAGGAGGAACACCGGUGGCGAAGGCGGUUCUCCGGGCAUUACCUGACGCUGAGGAGCGAAAGUGUGGGAGCGAACAGG